GAACGCUAGCUACAGGCUUACACAUGCAAGUCGCGGGGCAGCAUGGGGGUUGCUUGCAACCCCCGAUGGCGACCGGCGCACGGGUGAGUAACGCGUAUCCAACCUGCCCUUCACCACGGGAUAACCCGGCGAAAGUCGGACUAAUACCGUAUGUUGUCCAUUGACGGCAUCCGAUUUGGACGAAAGGCUUUGCGGUGAAGGAUGGGGAUGCGUCCGAUUAGCUUGACGGCGGGGUAACGGCCCACCGUGGCUACGAUCGGUAGGGGUUCUGAGAGGAAGGUCCCCCACACUGGAACUGAGACACGGUCCAGACUCCUACGGGAGGCAGCAGUGAGGAAUAUUGGUCAAUGGGCGCAAGCCUGAACCAGCCAAGUAGCGUGCAGGAUGACGGCCCUAUGGGUUGUAAACUGCUUUUAUGCGGGGAUAAAGUGGCCCACGUGUGGGCUUUUGCAGGUACCGCAUGAAUAAGGACCGGCUAAUUCCGUGCCAGCAGCCGCGGUAAUACGGAAGGUCCGGGCGUUAUCCGGAUUUAUUGGGUUUAAAGGGAGCGUAGGCCGCGCCUUAAGCGUGUUGUGAAAUCCGGUUGCUCAACAUCCGGCUUGCAGCGCGAACUGGGGCGCUUGAGUGCGCUGAAAGUAGGCGGAAUUCGUGGUGUAGCGGUGAAAUGCUUAGAUAUCACGAGGAACUCCGAUUGCGAAGGCAGCCUACUGUAGCGCUACUGACGCUGAUGCUCGAAAGCGUGGGUAUCGAACAGGAUUAGAUACCCUGGUAGUCCACGCGGUAAACGAUGGAUGCUCGUUGUCGGCCCUUUGGGUCGGUGACCAAGCGAAAGCGUUAAGCAUCCCACCUGGGG
rnacentral:rRNA from 1 species